rnacentral:rRNA from 1 species
UUAUAUGGUCAAGAAGAGAAGCGCAAACGGUGGAUGCCUUGGCAGUAAGAGGCGAAGAAGGACGUGGAAUCCUGCGAAAAGCUAUGGGGAGCUGGAAACGAGCGUUGAGCCAUAGAUGUCCGAAUGGGGGAACCCGGCUGCAGCGAUGCGGUCAUUUGCAUUUGAAUACAUAGGAUGCAAAGGCGAACUCGGGGAACUGAAACAUCUAAGUACCCGAAGGAAAAGAAAUCAAGAGAGAUUCUCCAAGUAGCGGCGAGCGAACGGGGAGGAGCCUGGCGUGAUUUAUUAUUGAACUGAGUAGAACAAUUUGGGAAAGUUGGCGAUAGAGGGUGAAAGCCCCGUAUACGAAGGUUUGAUGAGGAACUAGGCACGCGAACAAGUAGGCCGGGACACGUGAAAUCCUGGUUGAAGAUGGGUGGACCAUCAUCCAAGGCUAAAUACUACUUACUGACCGAUAGUGAACCAGUACCGUGAGGGAAAGGUGAAAAGAACCCCGGAGAGGGGAGUGAAAUAGAAUCUGAAACCGUUUGCGUACAAGCAGUGGGAGCAUGGUUUAGGCUGUGUGACUGCGUACCUUUUGUAUAAUGGGUCAGCGAGUUACUUUCAGUGGCGAGGUUAACUGAAUAAGGGAGCCGUAGAGAAAUCGAGUCUGAAUAGGGCGAUAGUCGCUGGGAGUAGACCCGAAACCGGGCGAUCUAGCCAUGUGCAGGAUGAAGGUUGGGUAACACCAACUGGAGGUCCGAACCGGGUAAUGUUGAAAAAUUAUCGGAUGACGUGUGGCUAGGAGUGAAAGGCUAAUCAAGCCCGGAGAUAGCUGGUUCUCCCCGAAAGCUAUUUAGGUAGCGCCUCGUGAAUGAUUGCUGGGGGUAGAGCACUGUUUCGGCUAGGGGGCUGUCAUGGCUUACCAAACCGAUGCAAACUCCGAAUACCGGCUAAUUGAAUCACGGGAGACACACGGCGGGUGCUAACGUCCGUCGUGGAGAGGGAAACAACCCAGACCGCCAGCUAAGGUCCCCAAGUACUAGUUAAGUGGGAAACGAUGUGGGAAGGCAUAGACAGCCAGGAGGUUGGCUUAGAAGCAGCCACCCUUUAAAGAAAGCGUAAUAGCUCACUGGUCGAGUCGGCCUGCGCGGAAGAUGUAACGGGGCUAAAACUAGUCACCGAAGCUGCGGAUGUGCGCGAAGGCGCACGUGGUAGGGGAGCGUUCUGUAGGCUGAUGAAGGUGCAUUGAGAAGUGUGCUGGAGGUAUCAGAAGUGCGAAUGCUGACAUGAGUAACGAUAAUGUGGGUGAAAAGCCCACACGCCGGAAGUCCCAGGUUUCCUGCACGACGUUAAUCGGAGCAGGGUGAGUCGGCCCCUAAGGCGAGGCUGAAGAGCGUAGUCGAUGGGAACCAGGUUAAUAUUCCUGGACUUUUUAUAAGUGGUGAAGUGGGGACGAAGAAGGCUAGGUGAGCCAGGCGUUGGUUGUCCUGGUACUUGCAUGUAGGGGGGAAGACUUGGCAAAUCCGGUUUUCCAUAACUCUGAGGUGCGAAGUGGUUCUGACCCUUUGGUACAGAGAAGUCAUUGAUGCCCGGCUUCCAGGAAAAGCUGCUAGCCAUAACUUAUAGAGAACCGUACCGCAAACCGACACAGGUGGACAGGUAGAGAAUACUAAGGCGCUUGAGAGAACUCGGGUGAAGGAACUAGGCAAAAUGGUACCGUAACUUCGGGAGAAGGUACGCCCUUUCUGGUGAUGGGAUUUACUUUCAGAGCUG